CAGCAAGUGGGGUCAGAGCUAUAAAUAAACGAGUGGACACUGCAGGCUCUCGCUUCGGGACCUCUGUGCUCAGCAAACAGGAAGUGGUGCUAACUGUGGCCGGUUGGCCAAUGCUGUCACCUGGGAGUCCCCACCACCCCUCCCCAGGCAGGCCUUCUGGGUGGAAACAUCUUUGCAAGCCUCUUUGUGGCCCAGAUGAGAGAAAAUGCACAGCUGCCUCUCCCUGCCUGGCGUCAGGAGCCACAGGCAGGAAGCAUUUACUGUUGGAAUGGAUGCCAGAGAGAGACCAGGAAAUGCAGGAAAAUGAUCAGCCAGAAAGAGUGACGUCCAAAGCCAGGAGGGUCACGGCCCGGGACCCGCGGCUCUUUCCGGAGGCCCCCACCCGCGCGCCCACCCGACGCCGCUGCGCGUGGGGCUCCGGUGCGCCCCGCGGGGGUGGGGGUCUGAGCCGAGACGGACGGUCGGACGCCCCGCCCGCCCCGGGCCUGAGUGGUUGGACGCCGGAGGAGAGUACGGGUGGGAUCCGCCAAGAGGACGGACCCCGGCGCGCGGCGAUACCGGGACGGGGCGGGGGUGGGCCCGAGCGGGAGACACGAACCCCAGCCGCCCACCCGGCGUCCGAGGGGCGGCGAGCCUGGCCACCGGACCUAGGACGCCCCGUGCCCAGGCCCCCACCUCGCCCCCGCCUCGGGCGGCAAUCCCCUAGAGGGCCGGGCGGGCGCGUCCGCAGUGGGUGGGGGGCUUUCCGGUGCCGUGUCUGCUCGGGCGCGUGCGCGGGCCGAGCGCGGAGCUCGGGCUCUGCUGCCCUCCUGCGGCCGCGGCGGGCACUGCGCCCGGGGGGCCUGGGGACCGAGGCGCCACGACCCCCGCGGGCCCCUCGCCACACCCGGGCGCCGCCGCCCCGCCUGCUGCGGACGCCGGGCCACGUCGUCGGACCAGCGCCCCGCACCCGCACUGGGUCUGGAGCGCGCCCUCGUCUCGGAAGGUGGCCGCUGGGCGGGCGGUGCGCCGGGCAGGGUCCGGGGCGGUGGGCGGGGCGGCGGCUGAGGAGCCUGCACCAGGGCUGCGCCGCGGGGCCGGCUUAGGGAGCCGGAGGCGUUGCCCACAGGAGCGGCCAGGACCAGCGAGGCCAGCUCUGAGCAGAAGCUCAGGCUGCAGCCCCGAAGCUGGCUUUACUGUGUGGGGACAGGGUGACGGUGCCAGAGGAAGAUGCCGAAAGGACAAGAAUAAGCGAGGACCGUCCCAGGACUCCCUUGGGCGAUCUCGGGAGAAAACCCCCAGCAGGCCCUUGGUGAUCCUUACUGAGGUUACACCUCUGCCAAUUUGUGGGGCGUAGAGGGAACCAGACCACCGGGCCCUUGUGUGGAAGGGCUGCCACAGAGGCCCCAGGCCAUGUGGUUAGAGAUGGUGGUC
rnacentral:lncRNA from 1 species